AUAUCGAGUGAUACUAAUCAUACAAAUAUCCAUUGUUUAUUGUCAUUACCACAUCAAAAUGUAGGAAUGAAAAGAACAAAAUAUAAGACUAAGAGAAAUAAGGCGGUUUUUUUUUUUUGUUUGUUUGUUUGUUUUUUGAGCCUGAAAAUGUAAUAGGAGCACCACAGACAUUACCUUCUCUGCUCUGCAUUCAGUAAAAUUUUAUUAGCUUAAUAUUAUGUUAUUCCACAUUCCUUUCUGUCUUUCUGUCUUGGAGCUUCCUUAGUCAUUUUCUGUUGCCUGAUUUGAGGGGUUCGUUGUUAAGUUAAAUAUUGAUGGUCACUCCCUGAUUGUCUGAUAUUCCCUUAUUUAGUCAGAAAAUAGAUAAAAACACAUUACUUGUAUUUUGUAUAAUAAAAGAUGUGGCUGUAAUACCUUUUUUUUUUUUUUUUUUUUAAAGAUGGAUGAAUGCCACAGAAAAAAUAUUUUUACAAAGAGGAUUAAGGAAUCUCUAGAGAUGGUAUUUAGGCAGAUGAUCUCUGUUUGAGCAACAUUUCCCCUGAGGUGUGGGUUGGUCUAUGAAAGAAUUUGCGUUCCUGAUAAUAGGCCUUUGGACAUUUUCCCAGGUAGUGGAACUAAUUCAUAUGAUACAUUUGUAUACCCUUACAAUACAAUUUUGAUAUGUUAACCUAGUUAAAAUAUAUAUAUAUAUGUAUAUAAUAAAAAGAGUUGCAUUCUAAAGUUCCACUCUUAAGCCUACAGUUAAAAUUAAUCUCAUUAUCUUCCCUGCUGUGGCAUGCAGAAUCUCUUACCUCCGGGUUGAUUAUUUCAUUAGAAAAGUAUUUGAAAAUAUAAUUUCUUCUAAACUACCAAAUGGAAAAUAAACAGACUGAUUUCAAAUUUAAUGUUCAUGUACUUUUGAAAGAGGGUAAAAAGAAAUUUCCUUUAUGUAAAAUUUACUGUUGUACACAGCAUUCCUUUAUCAUAAUGAUUGAAGUAUAUAAUGUUUAACAUUUCUGCAGUAUAAUUUCCCCCCUAGUAAAUUCUUUGGAACAUUUACAAUCUUCAGUCUUCAGAUAAACAAAUCUUAGCUCCUAAAGAAGCAAAGGACCAAACUUAAAUUGGCUCAAUUAUGACUGAGAAAGAUUUGUCUGACAAGCACAGCUCUUUUAAUCUGUUCAUGAGUUUCCCUCAAAUGAUUCUUUUAAACUUGCAAUUGACACAAAGACACAAAUACUGAUUCUGCAGUUUAUUUGUAAUAACUUUCAGCCUCAGUUAGCUUAUUGAUUUUCCUUUAUACUCCAUCAGUAUUUAAAAGUAAGAGAGCACAGGGUUUGUUCUUCAGCCCACAGGCACCAAGUGUCUGUAAUAUAUGUCUAUAUUGUAAAAAUCUCUCCUGCAGCAACACCCUUAUACCUACUGUCUGUUGGAGAUUGAUCUGUUCUUAGUAUUAUCUGGGAAAAGUUGUCACAAGCCAAAAACACACCAAAAGACAUGUUGGCCACUACACAGUACCAUAUACCAGUGUUUGAACUUUGGGUCUUGCCCUGUUUACUAUUUUAGCAUAAAUGCAACCCUCAAAUAAUUCAUAACAGAGUUUUAUGCUUCAGAAGGACAUGGAAGUAUUAGAAUGAGUCCAGAGGAGGGCCACCAAGAUGAACAAAGGUCUGGAGUACCUCUCCUAUGAAGACAGGCUAAGGGAGUUGGGGAUGUUUAGCCUAAAGAGAAGGCUCUUGGGUGUUCUCAUAGCAACUUUUCAAUAUUUAAAGGAGGGAGAGGAGUUAUAAAAAAGAUGGAGAACAAGUUUUUGCUCAGGCAGAUAAUGACAGUACAAGGAGGAAUAGAUUUAAAGUAAAAUUUAAAGUAAAAGAAGGCAAAUUUAGUUUAGAGAUUAGGAGGAAAUACUUCACUCAGAGGGUGGUGAGGCACUGGAACAGGUUUCCCAGAGAGACUGUGGAUGCCUCAUCCCUGGAGGUGUUCAAAGUCAGGAUGUAUGAGGCCCUAGGCAACCUGAUCUAGUGGGUGGCAUUUCUGCCUAUGGCAGUGGGUUGGAACUAGAUAGUUUUUAAGGUCCUUUUCAACCCAAACCACUCUGAUUCUAUAACUUUAUGAUGAUGUGUUAUCCUUUCUACAAGCAAUAGGUAUCAAUGUAUUCAGGGUCAUGGCUACUUUUGAGAUCUUUGAGGUCUCUUCCAACCUAGAUGAUUCUGUGAUUCUGUGAAAAGAGAGGAACUUGUUCUGUUUUCCUCUAAGGAAGAUAUGAAAUGAUACUUGCUGCUACUGCAGGUCUCUAGUAGCACAAUGCAAGCAGGAGACUGCAGCUUUGGAGAAUAAAGUAGUCCAAUGGGAGUCUAGGCUC
rnacentral:lncRNA from 1 species